rnacentral:tRNA from 1 species
GGGGAUGUAGCUCAGCUGGUAGAGUGCUUGCCCAACUGCAUGCACAAGGCCCUGGGUUCAAUCCCCAGCAUUGCAA